rnacentral:rRNA from 1 species
GGUGAACGCUAGCGAUAGGCUUAACACAUGCAAGUCGAGGGGCAGCAUGGUCUUAGCUUGCUAAGACUGAUGGCGACCGGCGCACGGGUGCGUAACGCGUAUGCAACUUGCCUCACAGAGGGGGAUAACCCGUCGAAAGACGUACUAAUACCGCGUACACUCCAUCUUGGGCAUCCAAGGUAGAGGAAAUGAAAUUCGCUGUGAGAUAGGCAUGCGUCCCAUUAGCUAGUUGGUGAGGUAACGGCUCACCAAGGCGACGAUGGGUAGGGGAACUGAGAGGUUGAACCCCCACACUGGUACUGAGACACGGACCAGACUCCUACGGGAGGCAGCAGUGGGGAAUAUUGGUCAAUGGGCGAGAGCCUGAACCAGCCAAGUCGCGUGAAGGAUGACUGUCUUAUGGAUUGUAAACUUCUUUUAUACGGGAAUAACAAGAGCCACGUGUGGCUCCCUGCAUGUACCGUAUGAAUAAGCAUCGGCUAACUCCGUGCCAGCAGCCGCGGUAAUACGGAGGAUGCGAGCGUUAUCCGGAUUUAUUGGGUUUAAAGGGUGCGUAGGCGGCCUGUUAAGUCAGCGGUGAAAUCUAGGAGCUUAACUCCUAAAUUGCCAUUGAUACUGGCGGGCUUGAGUGUAGAUGAGGUAGGCGGAAUGCGUGGUGUAGCGGUGGAAUGCAUAGAUAUCACGCAGAACUCCGAUUGCGAAGGCAGCUUACUAAGGUACAACUGACGCUGAAGCACGAAAGCGUGGGUAUCAAACAGG